UCAAAAAAUUUUACGAAGAAAAACCUUAGGGGCUUGAAACUCUCUUGAAAGCUCUGUUCCGCCGCGAAGCUCUCCAGGGAGCAACCAGUAAUGGCGGCGAACUCUUCGAGUCCGGCUUUCGAAAACUUUCGGUUGUUUGGAUCAGCGGAAGACGAUAAGCCCAAUCCGGGUUUAUCCCUGGGUUUCCUCGACUCUCAACAACCUCCACUUCCACCUCCACCUCCUUGCCUCGAAGUUCUUUCUUCUGAGGUUUGUUCUUCUGUCAAGUUCAAUGUGGAGCCAGUAACAGUGGGUGAAAUUACCAUGUUUAAGGGACGGGUCAGCACGCAGGAGGUUUUCUCCCUGUCCAACUCUGAUUUAGUUCCUGGUAAAUAUGAAGGGGGGCUUAAAUUAUGGGAAGGCGCAUUGGAUCUUGUCAAAGCUCUCUGUGGAGAGGUUGAAAAUGGGCAUUUGUCAUUUGCUGGGAAGCGAGUUUUAGAGCUUGGAUGUGGCCAUGGUCUUCCUGGUAUUUAUGCAUGUCUGGAGGAUGCAGCUGCAGUACAUUUCCAGGAUUUCAAUGCCGAAGUCCUGAGAUGCCUUACCAUUCCAAAUGUCACUGCAAACCUUACAAAAAAGGCUGAAGCUUUGCCAACAAAUCCAACAGAAUCCGAUGCUGGAUCAGCAGCUCGUUACUUCGCUGGUGAUUGGAGUGAAAUGCAUAAAAUUCUGCCGUUUGCGUCCGACGACAAGGAGAAGCUAAGUGAAAAUUUCAAUGGCUAUGACAUUGUUUUAAUGGCGGAGACCGUUUAUUCUCUUUCUACACUUAAAACUCUCUAUAAACUUAUCACACAGUGUUUGAGCCGUCCUCAUGGAGUUGUAUACAUGGCUGGAAAGAAGCAUUACUUUGGAGUAGGAGGAGGAACCCGACGCUUUCUCUCUGUGUUAGAAAAAGAAGGUGAAAUGGUUUCCAAACUGAUUGCAGAAGUUGCUGAUGGUUCGUCUAACGUUAGAGAAGUGUGGAAGAUCUCAUUGAAAUAGAAGGAAGCAUUAGGGAUGGUUUAUGCAAUGAUCACUGGAACGAAAGCGUUCUAUAUUUCUCUCCUUUGUCGAGUUCGUAUCUGAAAAUUAUGGAUCAAAUCUUUUUUGGGAAGUUGAACACUGUCUUGUGUGCUCCCUUUGUUGGAAAUUGACAUGGUCAAAGAAGAUCAUCAAUAGGUAUGCGUUUAAGCUAUGAAAUAUUAUUGGCCUCAAAGUCAGCUUAUUAUAGCCCAUCAACACGCAAAGCAGCUGAGCACAUAGAAUUGGAACCGAGGGAGUGCCUACUUAAGCUAUGCUCAAUUGGAAUUUAAGGGAUCAUCCAUGAUUCGACGUUUGAUUCGACGUUUUGUUAGAACAUGAUUAGAGGUUUGAAUUCCUAUCACAUGUUUGAACUUGAAAAGAAAAAAAAAAAAAAAAGUUGAAGAGAGUAAAAUGACACAAACUUGUGAGAUCGGACAUUGAACGGACUUUGAACUUCUAGCUUUUGUAUCAUCGUUGGUGAUAACUAUAUUAAUUAUGAUAUGAAAAGUUCAAUAGGAUCAAUAGA